AAAAAAGCUAGUGGUCCAUGCAAGGCCACUAACCCUAUAGACAGAUGCUGGCGGUGCAAUCCCAAGUGGGCUACCCACCGAAAGAGGCUAGCAGAAUGCGUCCUUGGCUUUGGCCACAGAACCACUGGUGGAAAGGACGGCAAGAUUUACAUAGUCACUGAUCCCUCAGACAAUGACAUGGUUAACCCCAAACCUGGAACCCUUCGCCAUGCAGUGAUCCAAAAGGGACCCCUUUGGAUCGUUUUUGCCAAUAGUAUGAUAAUCAGACUCAACCAGGAACUCAUGAUAACCAGCGACAAAACCAUUGAUGCUAGAGGAGCCAACGUCCAUAUUGCUGGUGGUGCUGGUCUUACUCUUCAGUUCGUCAAGAAUGUUAUCAUCCAUGGCCUCCACAUUCAUGACAUUGUCGCCGGCUCCGGCGGAAUAAUUAGGGAUUCCGUUGAUCACUAUGGAUUCAGGACGAGGAGCGACGGUGAUGGGAUUUCCAUCUACGGAUCCACCAACAUUUGGAUUGAUCAUGUUUCCAUGUCCAAUUGCCAGGAUGGGCUGAUUGAUGCUAUAAUGGGUUCAAGUGCCAUUACUAUCUCCAACUGCCAUUUCACCAAACACAAUGAGGUGAUGUUGUUCGGUGCAAGCGAUGGCCACACCGGUGAUUCUCUAAUGCAAAUCACGGUGGCGUUCAACCACUUCGGUAGAGGAUUGGUGCAAAGAAUGCCUAGGUGCCGAUGGGGUUUUGUCCAUGUUGUCAAUAAUGACUACACUCACUGGCUCAUGUACGGCAUUGGUGGUAGCCGCAAUCCUACCAUCAUCAGCCAAGGAAACCGAUUCAUUGCUCCUGAUAACGUUUCUGCUAAAGAGGUUACAAAGAGGGAUUACGCAAUGGAAAGUGAGUGGAAGAAUUGGAAUUGGAGAUCA
rnacentral:misc_RNA from 1 species